CCUACGGGGGGCUGCAGUGAGGAAUAUUGGUCAAUGGGCGCAAGCCUGAACCAGCCAUGCCGCGUGCAGGAUGACGGUCCUAUGGAUUGUAAACUGCUUUUAUACGAGAAGAAACACUCCUUCGUGAAGGAGCUUGACGGUAUCGUAAGAAUAAGGAUCGGCUAACUCCGUGCCAGCAGCCGCGGUAAUACGGAGGAUCCAAGCGUUAUCCGGAAUCAUUGGGUUUAAAGGGUCCGUAGGCGGUUAGAUAAGUCAGUGGUGAAAGCCCAUCGCUCAACGGUGGAACGGCCAUUGAUACUGUUUAACUUGAAUUAUUAGGAAGUAACUAGAAUAUGUAGUGUAGCGGUGAAAUGCUUAGAGAUUACAUGGAAUACCAAUUGCGAAGGCAGGUUACUACUAAUGGAUUGACGCUGAUGGACGAAAGCGUGGGUAGCGAACAGGAUUAGAUACCCUAGUAGUC
rnacentral:rRNA from 1 species